rnacentral:rRNA from 1 species
CCUACGGGCGGCAGCAGUGGGGAAUAUUGGACAAUGGGCGAAAGCCUGAUCCAGCCAUGCCGCGUGUGUGAAGAAGGCCUUCGGGUUGUAAAGCACUUUCAGUGGGGAAGAAAGCCUUGGGGCUAAUACCCUCGAGGAAGGACAUCACCCACAGAAGAAGCACCGGCUAACUCCGUGCCAGCAGCCGCGGUAAUACGGAGGGUGCGAGCGUUAAUCGGAAUUACUGGGCGUAAAGCGCGCGUAGGCGGUCUGAUAAGCCGGUUGUGAAAGCCCCGGGCUCAACCUGGGAACGGCAUCCGGAACUGUCAGGCUAGAGUGCAGGAGAGGAAGGUAGAAUUCCCGGUGUAGCGGUGAAAUGCGUAGAGAUCGGGAGGAAUACCAGUGGCGAAGGCGGCCUUCUGGACUGACACUGACGCUGAGGUGCGAAAGCGUGGGUAGCAAACAGGAUUAGAUACCCCAGUAGUC